rnacentral:misc_RNA from 1 species
AAGUCGUAACAAGGUUUCCGUAGGUGAACCUGCGGAAGGAUCAUUCUUGAUAUAUAAGCGUAAGCUUACUAAUUUAUGUGCACUGUUACCGUCAAAUUGGCGGCCGAAAGGCUGUCAGUCUGGCAUAUUAUUUACAUACUAUUAAUUCAUUUUACCUUAAAAAUUUUCUAUUAGACAACUUUUAGCAAUGGAUCUCUAGGCUCUC